rnacentral:rRNA from 1 species
GGGGAAUAUUGGGCAAUGGACGCAAGUCUGACCCAGCAACGCCGCGUGAAGGAAGAAGGCUUUCGGGUUGUAAACUUCUUUUAAGGGGGAAGAGUAGAAGACGGUACCCCUUGAAUAAGCCACGGCUAACUACGUGCCAGCAGCCGCGGUAAUACGGAGGGUGCAAGCGUUACUCGGAAUCACUGGGCGUAAAGAGCACGUAGGCGGCCUUGCAAGUCAGAUGUGAAAUCCAACGGCUUAACCGUUGAACUGCAUUUGAAACUGCAAGGCUAGAGUAUGGGAGAGGUAGGUGGAAUUCUCGGUGUAGGGGUAAAAUCCGUAGAGAUCGAGAGGAAUACUCAUUGCGAAGGCGACCUGCUGGAACAUUACUGACGCUGAGGUGCGAAAGCGUGGGGAGCAAACA